AUAGGGAAGCUAAUCAUCUUGC
rnacentral:siRNA from 1 species